rnacentral:rRNA from 1 species
UGGCUCAGGACGAACGCUGGCGGCGUGCCUAAUACAUGCAAGUCGAACGGUCUUUCUAUGGAAGCUUGCUUCCACUGAGAAGAUAGUGGCGAACGGGUGAGUAACACGUGGGUAACCUGCCCAUAAGAGGGGGAUAACAUCCGGAAACGGGUGCUAAUACCGCAUAGUUUUCUUGAUCGCAUGAUCGGGAAAGGAAAGACGGCCUUUGUGCUGUCGCUUAUGGAUGGACCCGCGGCGUAUUAGUUAGUUGGUGAGGUAACGGCUCACCAAGACGAUGAUACGUAGCCGACCUGAGAGGGUGAUCGGCCACAUUGGGACUGAGACACGGCCCAAACUCCUACGGGAGGCAGCAGUAGGGAAUCUUCCGCAAUGGACGAAAGUCUGACGGAGCAACGCCGCGUGAGUGAAGAAGGUUUUUCCGGAUCGUAAAACUCUGUUGUCAGAGAGGAACAAGUUGGAGAGUAACUGCUCCAGCCUUGACGGUAUCUGACCAGAAAGCCACGGCUAACUACGUGCCAGCAGCCGC